AACCACACAACAACCUAACCACAACCUAACCACAACCUAACCACAACACAUGACAUCAAAGUAACAAAACAUUAUACAUCUCUUGCAAAAGAAAAACAAUUCUUGCAAAACUCUUUAAACACUUAAAACAUGUUUUGUUGUUGCUGCAACACAAACCAUCCUUUGAAUAAGAACACAAAGCACCAACUACACACUGACAGUAUAAAUGAAAACCACUUGAGACUUUUGCUUUUCCGGUGUGCAGGGCAUAAUAAUCACACAUAACACACAGGUAUCUGGAUGUGUAAAGGCUGUGUAUUCUGAACAUAACACACAGGUAUCUGGAUGUGUAAAUUAUGGCUGUGUAUUCUGAACAUAACACACAGGUAUCUGGAUGUGUAAAGGCUGUGUAUUCUGAACAUAACACACAGGUAUCUGGAUGUGUAAAGGCUGUGUAUUCUGAACAUAACACACAGGUAUCUGGAUGUGUAUAGUAUGGCUGUGUAUUCUGAACAUAACACACAG